GGGCGCUUAGCUCAGUUGGUAGAGCGUUUGCCUUACACGCAGAAUGUCGGGAGUUCGAGCCUCUCAGCGCCCACCA
rnacentral:tRNA from 1 species